UCGUAACAAGGUCUCCGUAGGUGAACCUGCGGAGGGAUCAUUACACAAAUAUGAAGGCGGGCUGGAACCUCUCGGGGUUACAGCCUUGCUGAAUUAUUCACCCUUGUCUUUUGCGUACUUCUUGUUUCCUUGGUGGGUUCGCCCACCACUAGGACAAACAUAAACCUUUUGUAAUUGCAAUCAGCGUCAGUAACAAAUUAAUAAUUACAACUUUCAACAACGGAUCUCUUGGUUCUGGCAUCGAUGAAGAACGCAGCGAAAUGCGAUAAGUAGUGUGAAUUGCAGAAUUCAGUGAAUCAUCGAAUCUUUGAACGCACAUUGCGCCCUUUGGUAUUCCAAAGGGCAUGCCUGUUCGAGCGUCAUUUGUACCCUCAAGCUUUGCUUGGUGUUGGGCGUCUUGUCUCUAGCUUUGCUGGAGACUCGCCUUAAAGUAAUUGGCAGCCGGCCUACUGGUUUCGGAGCGCAGCACAAGUCGCACUCUCUAUCAGCAAAGGUCUAGCAUCCAUUAAGCCUUUUUUUUCAACUUUUGACCUCGGAUCAGGGAGGGAUACCCGCUGAACUUAAGCAUAUCAAUAAGCGGGA
rnacentral:rRNA from 1 species